UGACCUCAGAUCAGACAUGGCAACCCGCAGACUUUAAGCAUAUUACUAAGUGGAGGAAAAGAAACUAACAUGGAUUCCCUCAGUAACAGUGAGUGAAGAGGGAAGAUCCCAGCACCGAAUCCCCACCUGGGUGAUGUGUCCAGGGAAAUGUGGUGUAAGGAAGUCCAUCUCCUCAGUGCCGCCCAGGGGGCCCAAGUCCUUGUGAUCGAGGCUCAGCCCACAGACAGUGUGAGGCCGGUGGCGGCCCUUGGCGUGUUGGGAUCAGGUCUUCCCUGAGUUGAGUUAUUAGUGAAUGCAGCCAAAAGUGGGUGGUAAACUCCAUCUAAGGCAAAACACCGGCACAAGACCGAUAGCGGACAAGUACUGUAAGGAAAGUGGAAAAGAACUUUGAAGAGAGAGUUCAAGAGGGCGUGAAACCAUUCAGAGGUUAACGGGUGGAGUCCGUGCAGUCCGCCCAGAGGAUUCAACCCGGCGGCUGCGCUGGCUGCCCGGGGGUAGUGGAUCCCCCUCCAGGGAGGUGGGGGACCAUCCCCAGGCAUGCCGGCCACCGUUAGGUGCACUUUCUCAGAGGCAGUGCGCCAUGACCGGCUUGGGGUUGGCGGGAAAGCCACAUGGAAAGUGGCUCCCCUCCCCAGAGGGGCAUGUUUCAGCCCGUGGCAUCAGCCCUCACUGUGCCCCAGGGUCGUGGGAAAUGACCACCACUGCACCCUCCCCACCUUCACGGUGGGGGCCGGGGGUCCCCUGCUCCCUCCGGAACUUUAGACUGGGCCAGACUGCCCUCAGUGCAGCCUGACCGUGUCCUGCUGGCGGGCUCACCUCGGGUGCCCGUGGUCCGAGAUGACAUCCAUGAAUCACCCGUCCCAUCUUGAAACAUGGACCAAGGAAUCUAACAGGUGCAUGAGUCCAAGGGUGGGUAGGAGACCCCAUGGUGCAAUGAAAGUGAGGACUGGUGCAUGAAGGCUGAGGAGAGAUCCCUCCACCCCAUGCGGGGGGCGCACCACCGGCCCGUCUCACCCGUCCCAUCAGGGAGGUGGAGCGUGAGCGCACCUGGUAGGACCCGAAAGAUGGUAAACUAUGCUUGGGCAGGGCGAAGCCAGAUGAAACUCUGGUGAAGAUCCGCCACGUUCCUGAAGUGCAAAUCAGUCAUCUGACCUGGGUAUAGGGGCUAAAGACUAAUCAAACCAUCUAGUAGCUGGUUCCUUCCAAAGUUUCCCUCAGGAUUGCUGGUGCUCGGCGGAUGCAGGCCAAAAUGAUCUCAAUCUAUUCUCAAACUUUAAAUGGGUAAGAAGCCUGACUCACUGGCUUGGAGCUGGGCGUGGAAUGCAACCGCCCAGCGGGCCACUGUAGGUAAGCAGAACUGGUGCUGUGGGAUGAACCGAACGCCAGGUUAAGGUGCCCAAUACCGACGCUCAUCAGACCCCAGAAAAGGUGCUGGUUGAUAUAGAGAGCAGGACGGUGGACAUGGAAGUUGGAGUCCGCUAAGUAGUGUGUAACAAUUCACAUGCCGAAUCAACUAGCUCUGAAAAUGGAUGGCGCUGGAGCAUUGGGCCCAUACCCGGCCGUCGACGGCGCUGGGAGCCAAGGGGGCUAUGCCACAAUGAGUAAGAGGGCCGCCGCAGUGGCACUGAAGCCCAGUGCGAGGGCCCGGGGUGGAGCCGCCAUGGGUGCAGAUCGUGGUGGUAGUAGCAAAUAUUUAAAUGAGAGCAUUGGAAGGCCGAAGUGGAGAAGGAUUCCAUGUGAACAGCAGUUGAACAUGGCUCAGUCGGUCUUGAGAGACAGGCGAGUGCCAUUCCAAAGGGACGGGCAAUGGCCUCCAUCACCCUCGGCCGAUUGAAAGGGAGUUGGGUUCAGAUCCCCGAAUCCGGAGUGGCAGAGACAGGUGCCUCAUGGCGCCCAGUGUGAUGACGCAAACAAUCCUGAAGAAGCCGGCAGGGGCCCCUGGGAGAGUUCUCUUUUCUUUGUAAAGGGCAGGGUGCCCUGGAAUGGGUUGACCCCGAGAGAGAGGCCCACACCCUGGAAAGCAUUACAGUUCCAGCGGUGUCAGGUGAGCUCUCGCUGGCCCUUGAAAAUCCGGGGGAGAGGGUGUAAGUCUCGCGCUGGGCCAUACCCAUAUCCACAGCAGGUCUCCAAGGUGAACAGCCUCUGGCAUGUUAGAACAAUGUAGGUAAGGGAAGUCGGCAAGCCAGAUCCGUAACUUCGGGAUAAAGAUUGGCUCUAAGUGCUGGGUCGGUCAGGCUCGGGCAUGAAGCGGGGCUGGGUGCACGCCGUGGCUGGAAGAGGCAUAGCCAGCCCUUGCCAUGCUCCCCCCUCCUGGGGGGGCCGGUGGGUAUGGCGGCGGUGACUCUGGAUGUGCCCUGGGCCCUUCCUGUAGAUCGCUCUGGCUGUGAUGGGCACUGGUCCGAAUCAGCGUCCCACAUCGUCUGACAGCUAGCAGCUAACUUAGAUCUGGUGCAGACCAGGGGAAUCCGACUGUUUAAUUAAAACAAAGCAUCAUGAAGGCCUGAGACGGGUGUUGAUGCAAUGUGGUUUCUGCCCAGUGCUCUGAAUGUCAAAGUGAAGAAAUUCAAUGAAGCAUGGGUAAACGGCGGGAGUAACUAUGACUCUCUUAAGGUAGCCAAAUGCCUCAUCAUCUAGUUAGUGACGCGCAUGAAUGGAUGAAUGAGAUUCCCACUGUCCCUACCUACUAUCAAGCGAAACCACAGCCAAGGGAACGGGCUAGGCAGAAUCAACAGAGAAAGAAGACCCUGUUGAGCUUGACUCUAGUCUGGCACUGCGAAGAGACAUGAGAGGUGUAGAAUAAGUGGAAGACCUCGGCCACCGGUAAAAUACCACUACUCUUAUCGUUUUUUCAUUUAUCCGGUGAGGCAGCGGGCGAACCCCACCAGGGCUCUCGCUUCUGGCUGAAAGUGCCAGAGCGUCCGGGCACGACCCGCUCCGGGGACAGUGUCAGGUGGGAAGUUUGACUGGGGCAGUACACCCAUCAAAGAGUAACGCAGGUGUCCUAAGGACAGAAACCUGCCGGGAGCAGAAGGGCAAGAGCUCACUUGAUCUUGAUUUUCAGUAUGAAUACAGACCAUGAAAGCGGGGCCUCACAAUCCUUCUGGCUUUUUUGGGUUUUAAGUAGGAGGUUUCAGAAAAGUUACCACAGGAAUAACUGGCUUGUGGAGACCAAGCGUUCAUAGUGACAUUGCUUUUUGAUCCUUCGAUGUCAGAUUUUCCUAUCAUAGUGAAGCAGAAUUCACCAAGCGUUGGAUUGUUCACCCACUAAUAGGGAACAUGAGCUGGGUUCAGACCGUCGUGAGACAGGUCAGUUUUACCCUACUGAUGAUGUGUUGUUUUGAUAGUAAUCCUGCUCAGUACGAGAGGAACUGCAGGUUCAGACAUUUGUGUAUGUGCUUGGCUGAGGAGCCAAUGGUGUGAAGCUACCAUCUGUGGAAUUAUGACUGAAUGCCUCUAAGUCAGAAUCCUGUCUAAACAUAACAAUACUGAAGUGCCGCGGACCUCCGGUUGGGCAGAGAUAGCCGGCCACAAGGUCGGCAAGGAGAGCCCUCAUCACUGGGUCAGAGCGCGGACGGAAGGGGGCCGCUUUACUCCAGCAGUGCAGAGCACAUUCAUGGGGAGCUGGCUGCUAAAUCAUACAUAGACAACCUGAUUCUGGGUCGGGGUUUCUUACGUAGCAGGGCAGUGAAAAGCUGCUAUCUAUUGAAAGUUUGCCCUUGAGCCAAGCUUUUGU